GAAAAAUUUAGUUUAAAAAAAACAUUAGUUUGUCAAACUGAAAAUAUUUAUUAAUAAUUUUU
rnacentral:tRNA from 1 species